UAGGGAAUCUUCGGCAAUGGGGGGAACCCUGAACGAGCAACGCCGCGUGAGUGAAGAAGGUUUUCGGAUCGUAAAGCUCUUUUGUUAAGGAAGAACGAGUGUGAGAAUGGAAAGUUCAUACUGUGACGGUACUUAACCAGAAAGGGACGGCUAACUACGUGCCAGCAGCCGCGGUAAUACGUAGGUCCCGAGCGUUGUCCGGAUUUAUUGGGCGUAAAGCGAGCGCAGGCGGUUAGAUAAGUCUGAAGUUAAAGGCAGUGGCUCAACCAUUGUAGGCUUUGGAAACUGUUUAACUUGAGUGCAGAAGGGGAGAGUGGAAUUCCAUGUGUAGCGGUGAAAUGCGUAGAUAUAUGGAGGAACACCGGUGGCGAAAGCGGCUCUCUGGUCUGUAACUGACGCUGAGGCUCGAAAGCGUGGGGAGCGAACAGG
rnacentral:rRNA from 1 species